ACGGGAGGCAGCAGUGGGGAAUAUUGCACAAUGGGGGAAACCCUGAUGCAGCGACGCCGCGUGAAGGAAGAAGUAUCUCGGUAUGUAAACUUCUAUCAGCAGGGAAGAUAAUGACGGUACCUGACUAAGAAGCCCCGGCUAACUACGUGCCAGCAGCCGCGGUAAUACGUAGGGGGCAAGCGUUAUCCGGAUUUACUGGGUGUAAAGGGAGCGUAGACGGAUCAGCAAGUCUGAUGUGAAAUCCCGGGGCUCAACCCCGGAACUGCUUUGGAAACUGUUUAGCUAGAGUGCAGGAGAGGUAAGCGGAAUUCCUAGUGUAGCGGUGAAAUGCGUAGAUAUUAGGAGGAACACCAGUGGCGAAGGCGGCUUACUGGACGGUAACUGACGUUGAGGCUCGAAAGCGUGGGGAGCAAACAGGAUUAGAUACCCUGGUA
rnacentral:rRNA from 1 species